CUGUCAAUUUUUGCUUUUGUGGCAAUUGCUUUUGGUGUCUUCAUCAUGAAAUAUUUGCCCAUUCCUGUGUUCAAACUGGUAUUGCCUAUAUUGUCUUCCAGGGUUUUUAUAGUCUUAAAUUUUACAUUCAAGUCUUUAAUCCAUCUUGAGUUGAUUUUUGUAUAUAGUAUAAAGAAGGGGUUCAGUUUUAAUCUUCAGCCUAUGGCUAGCCAGUUAUCUGAUUACAAUUUAUUGAAAUGGGAGUCCUUUCCCCAACACUUGUUUUUGUUAGCUUUGUCAAAGAUCAGAUGGUUGUAGGUAGGGUGUAUUUCCUCUCAGGCCUCUGUUCUUUCCA